AUAGCGUAUAUUAAAGUUGUUGCGGUUAAAAAGCUCGUAGUUGGAUCUGCGGCCUCGGAUGCCGGUCCCCCACAGGGUGCGACUGGUUUUCCAGGCCUACCUCGCUGGUUUUCCCUUGGUCCUCUUCACUGGGUGCCUUGGGUGACCAGCAAGUUUACUUUGAAAAAAUUAGAGUGCUCAAAGCAGGCGCGUAGCCUGAAUAGUGGUGCAUGGAAUAAUAGAAUAGGACCUCGGUUCUAUUUUGUUGGUUUUCGGAGCGCGAGGUAAUGAUUAAGAGGGACAGACGGGGGCAUUCGUAUUGCUGCGUUAGAGGUGAAAUUCUUGGAUCGCAGCAAGACGGACAACUG
rnacentral:rRNA from 1 species